GCCUAGAUACCGACACCCUCCUCGUCCCUUGUCCUUUCCCCACUUUUGUCUUCCUUUCGCCCCGACUACUAACCCUAGCUUUUGAUUCCCCACAUCCCUCCCUCCCGCCUGAUUCCUCCGUCGCAAACAGGAUCAUAUCUGUGCAGAAGCGGCAAUGGCGUCGGUGACCUAGGCUUGGGAAGGCCCAUCGUUGCAGGAAGGGAGCUUCUUGGAUUGGCUCAGCGGGAUCUCAGGCAAUCUUCGUGGGUUUGAGCAGCAAGUUCUCAGGGAAGAAUGCAGGUUACAGAACAGAAUAGAAGUUCAGUAUGAUAGUUCAAACAGAGAGCAUCAGGUACUUGUUUUGGUUGCUUUUGACAGCAAACUGUUCUUAUGCGGUCCAUCUUGUGGUUUUUGUGGAUCCGGUGAGUGUGUUCCCGAUGUGGAGGUCUGUGCCGCUGCCAGAGAUCAACGAGAGGGCGCUGGCGAUGGAGAUCCCAUUCAUGUUGCUAACUGUGGAUGAGCGAAUGUUUGGUGCAGCUCAACAGCUAGAAUACUUCUGAUCAGGACUCGGAACUCAAGUAAAGAGGCCACGGCCCACGGGCUUAUAUAAGAAGUUAGUUUGUGAAUGUUUCCUAAGGUGACCUCAAGGCUAAAUUAAACUAACAUUGUUUACAAGAAACUAAUGUAAUUGUGUUUUAAUCUUAACUGAUAUCAAAAUUGUAAGAACAUUGAUAUUUGGUUUUUUGUUAUAUAUCAAGAUUAUGGUUGCUGGCA